rnacentral:rRNA from 1 species
GACGAACGCUGGCGGCGUGCUUAACACAUGCAAGUCGAACGGAAAGGCCCUGCUUUUGUGGGGUGCUCGAGUGGCGAACGGGUGAGUAACACGUGAGUAACCUGCCCUUGACUUUGGGAUAACUUCAGGAAACUGGGGCUAAUACCGGAUAGGAGCUCCUGCUGCAUGGUGGGGGUUGGAAAGUUUCGGCGGUUGGGGAUGGACUCGCGGCUUAUCAGCUUGUUGGUGGGGUAGUGGCUUACCAAGGCUUUGACGGGUAGCCGGCCUGAGAGGGUGACCGCCCACAUUGGGACUGAGAUACGGCCCAGACUCCUACGGGAGGCAGCAGUGGGGAAUAUUGCACAAUGGGCGGAAGCCUGAUGCAGCAACGCCGCGUGCGGGAUGACGGCCUUCGGGUUGUAAACCGCCUUCGCCUGUGACGAAGCGUGAGUGACGGUAAUGGGUAAAGAAGCACCGGCUAACUACGUG